rnacentral:lncRNA from 1 species
UAAGUUUGCCAGGUGGACGUUCAGUGUCCACCAUUGACAGCACAGAAUCAUUUUUUACAGAGUGAAGUCAAAUUUACUACGUAGGACCAGAAUAUUCCUUGAGACGCCACGGUAUAGGAUCCGAAGUAGAUGCCUCAAUUUCCUAUGACUCAGAUCUCUUCGCAGGCUUCCCAGCAGCUUUGGGGUGGGUCCAGGGGACCACCCUGUGCUCCAGGUGGUAACUGUGCUCUCAGCAAAGAGACGGGAAAAGUGCUGGGCAGAGUCAGGAGGCUGAGCUGGCUGGAGUGUUUUGUGGGUACCUUCUCAGAACAACAAAGCGGAGCUUUUAAAGUCUUUUCCGUGGGGUCCACAGCCUCGCCACUCCCAGCCCCGGCCGCGGCCUUGGAAUGAAUGAAGUAAGUGAACCGUUCCCCCCGCCCCAGUCAACCCCGCAGGCAGGGAUCUCCGGCCCCGGUUCCGGCGGAGGCAGCACGGUGGGGGAAGCGGGUACUUCUCUAGGCGGGGUGGGGGCCUGGGGGCCACCUACAGGGGCUUUGUCCCCAUCCCCUAACCCCAAUUCGCAGGGU